GAGUUUGAUCCUGGCUCAGAACGAACGCUGGCGGCAGGCUUAACACAUGCAAGUCGAACGCGUGUAGCAAUACACGAGUGGCGCACGGGUGAGUAACACGUGGAUAUCUGCCUUUUGGUUCGGAAUAACCCUGGGAAACUAGGGCUAAUACCGGAUGGUUCCUACGGGAUAAAGAUUUAUCGCCAAAAGAUGAGUCCGCGUCCGAUUAGCUAGUUGGUGAGGUAAUGGCUCACCAAGGCGACGAUCGGUAGCUGGUCUGAGAGGACGAUCAGCCACACUGGGACUGAGACACGGCCCAGACUCCUACGGGAGGCAGCAGUGGGGAAUAUUGGACAAUGGGGGCAACCCUGAUCCAGCCAUGCCGCGUGAGUGAUGAAGGCCUUC
rnacentral:rRNA from 1 species